UGUCCACCGGCCAGCUGUACGAGCAAAUGCCGAAUAUACAGUAGCCUUUUUACGAGGAAUCCGAGGACUUGCUUCUCCGUUGUACGAAAGUUUAUGACCGUUGUUUAGGGUCAAGUUUAUGACCGUUGUAUAGGCCUAAACGCGCUGCCCCAAUUUCUUCCUUCGUGAUCUCCUCUCCCGAUAUCCGAUCUCCGAGCUCCUCAUGCGACCUUUCACUAAGCUUCUCUCCCCUCUCCCCUUCCCCGGUUACCCCCGAUCUGUCGGCAGGCCUCUCCCCUCUCCCCUUACCCCCGAUCUGUCGGCGGGCAGCCGAGGCGCGAUGCCGUUCCGGCGAUUGGGUCACGCCUAGGCCGCGGCCUCGCAGCGAGGUCGCGGAGGCCGGGCGCGACCUCAGCCGCGUGAUAUUUCAAGUUGCGUUCCUCUGAGUCAGGGUUUCAAGAAUUUCAGCAAGACAGCUAGAGACCUUUUGCUCAAAAUGCAGAAAAUCGAUGGAGAUUACUAUCUGAAACUUUACACGAGAUGUUCAUUGUCAAUGCUGGCACUGGCUUUAGGCUCCUUUGGAACACCGUUAAAGGUUUUCUUGAGCCAAAAACAACUGCAAAGAUACAUCAACUUCCAGAUUUCUUGGGUUGGUUGUGCACUUGCUCCAAUGAAGACGGAUGUUUGAAAUCUAACCAAGGGCCAUGGAAAUGGAAUAAUCCCAACAUUAUGGAGCAAUCACUAUUUUGUCCUGGAAGCAGCAUUGCUAAGGCAUACUAGACAAAUGUCAGAAGGAGGUGAAGCCUUUGUAGAGUCAUAUCUUUUGAAGGCAAGCUUUAUAUCUAGCCUUUAUUUUGUUCCUCAUUUUUCUAGAUACAUUGUGUAAUGCCCUUUAUUGAAAAUUUUUUCAUUCUUUCUUCUUCAUCUUAAGGGAAGAAGCAGUGGUAUUAUACUUGAUGCAUUGUUCAUCUGCUUUAGUUUCUAAGUAGUUUAAUAGUUAAUGAUACGGCAUGUUGCGAGUGAUCCUGAAAGUAAGGUGAGCUCGAUAGUCAAAAUGAUAUGACAAUCAAAGUCAAUGUGAGGUGACAGUCAACAUCAAUAAGACAGUCAGGUGUGUAUCAUCAGGCAGGUCACUCACCUUCGAAGCUUAGCUCCUCGUUCUUCAAGUACAAGUCUCUCAGUAUACAGUCGAUCGACAUCAGAGCCGGUCAACCCCAGAGCUAGUUAGUCCCAGAGCCGGUUGACUCGGACUUAACAGACUCAGCUCCCCACUCUUCAAAAUGCAAGUCUCUUAGCAUACUGUCAGUCGGCCCCAGAGCCGGUCGGACUUGAGGGACUUAGCUCCCCACUCUAAGUGCAAGUCUCUUAGCAUAUAACCGGUCGGCCCAGAGCCGGUCGGACUUAAGGGACUUAACUCCUCACUCUUCAAGUGCAAGGCAACUCUCAACAUAUAGCCAGUCGACCCAAGAGCCGGUUGGAUUUAUGGGGCUCAGCUCCCUAUUUCUCAGCACCAAGGCACCUAACAUAUAGUCGGUUGGCCUAACAGCUGGUCGGACUUACAGGGCUCAACUCCCCACUUCACAGCGUCGAGGCACUUAGCAUACGACCGGUUGACCAUAGUGCCGUUCGAACCUUUGGAGCGUUGUUCGAACCUUUGUGGCUCAGUUCCUCACUCCUUAUGUACAAGAGUCUAGCAUACAGUCGGUCGGCUACUGGGUCGGUCGGAUUUCCUCCGUGAGACAACAUUAUUAGAGAAUCGCAAUAACCUGUCAGAGAAUAACGACUACCUAUCAGGGAAUAUUCCGACUCCGACAUAUACAUACAACGGAACCUUCCUCUAAGGGUGGGCAUACAUCCUCCAUUACUCGACAUAUGUUGACACCCGACAUUCUUUGACGCCUCAUUAUUGCGAAGCUUAUGAGGGUUAGUAUAAAAAGGGGCUCUCUCCGUUGGCCAGGUAUGCUCACACAUACACAUUUUACUACAGGCGCAUUCAUGACAUGCAUCUACUACUGUUCAUCUUCUUUUCCGUUCUUUCAGUCAAUUCUGACUUGAGCGUCGGAGUGUCUGUGCUAGGGACCCCUCCCCAAUUCUCGCUCUAACGUUUCCAUUGGCUCUCUUUGUGGUAUGGGCAGAAAGGAUCAUUUGGUGUCAUCCCCAUCCAGCUCAGAGCCUUCUCACAGUCAGCAGCAUAGCCAUCUACCCAGUCUGCUAUCUUCACCAAUUUCAAACAGGAUCAAAUUUGGCGCCAUGUGUGGGAAUCUUCGCCUAAAUCUGAAAUGCGGAGAUGGAGGAGAUUGGACGAUUCACCACAAUUACUUUGUCACAAUAAGAUUUGGACUUAAUAACUACCUAAGCACAGAAGUUAGUGCAACAACAAUAAGCAACAAUUGGUGGUCCUCUACCGCACGACCUAGCUAUAUCAAUAAUGGGCCCCCACACCGAGCGAGGGACCCGAGUGGAAUGACCAACUGGGUUCUCGCCAAUUCCUCUUACGGCUGGCUUCAUGCAAACGUUGGCGCAACCAAUCAGCUUGUCGCCUGUGCUACCCUCCCCGGUUGCGUACCAUCGGGCAUUGCUCCGCAUGCCAUUUAACGAUGUGGGCUGAGCGGAAAGACCCCAAGAGUCAUCUUUUGGACAUGCACUCGCUAGGGACCCGUGAAAGGGAAAGGCUUAGGUCCCUAGUGGUUCUCCCGCAUAGACACGCAUGUCGUUCUUCCCAGAAAUAUUGGAGGACAAAUUGCCAAAUCAUUUUUGACCCUUGACGAUCAGAGAAUAUGGAGGAGCAACCGACCAAGAAGAUCAUCUCCUUAAAUUUGAAAACGCUGCCUUCCUUCACCGAUACACAGAUGACGUUAAGUGCUCGAGUGUUCCUUACCUCUUUCUCUGGCUCAGCAUAAAGAUGGUCCAACUGAUUUCCUGCCUAGUUCAUCUGUUGCUUUAAGGAUUUCCGCAAAGUAUUCCUCCACCACUUUGCCAGUAGUCGAUGCUACCAUAAGACCAUGUUGAGUCUCUUUCCCUCAAACAGGGGCCUAAAGAGGCGUUGAGGGUAUAUACAUCAAAAGAUUCAACCAGGUGGCCAUGGAUAUCCCCUUCCAUCUUGAAAUCCUAGUGAGUGUCUUCUCUCAAGGGCUCACAGAUGAGGAUUUCUUCCGGUUCCUGAUCAAGAAGUCACCCAAGGACUUCGACCACUUACUUGGAAGGGUGAUCAAGUACAUUAAUGUGGAGGAGGAUCAAUUCGCUCUGAAGGAGGUUGCUGCACCCGCUCUUAUAUCCCAGAGCGUCGAGCCCCACCCCCGCC